rnacentral:rRNA from 1 species
GAUGAACGCUGGCGGCGUGCUUAACACAUGCAAGUCGAACGGAGACGCCCCAGCUUGCUGCUUUGGCUGAGUGCCGACCGCGUGCGUGAGAGGUGCGCAUCCUCCCCCUGACUCUGACAUAGGCGCUGGCCACGGCGACUAAUCCUAGUUCCGCGUAGCGUCCGCUUCGGCCCUUUCUGGAAGGUUAGGCGGUUCGGGAUGGGCUCGUGGGCUAGCAGCUGGUUGGUGAGGUAACGGCUCACCAAGGCGCCGACGAGUAGCUGGCCUGAGAGGGGGACCGGCCACAGGGGGACUGAGACACGGCCCGGAGUCCUACGGGAGACAGCAGUGGGGAAGGGUGCACAAUGGACGAAAGCCGGAUGCAGGAACGCCGCGUUAGGGAUGACGGCCUUCGGGUUGUAGGCCUCUUUGAGCGGGGAAGAAGCGAAAGUGAAGGUACCGGCUGAAGAAGCACCGGCUAACUACGUG